CCAGGUAAUAACAUGACUAUAUACAGGGAGUACCAGGUAAUAACAUGACUAUAUACAGGGAGUACCAGGUAAUAGCAUGACUAUAUACAGGGAGUACCAGGUAAUAACAUGACUAUAUACAGGGAGUACCAGGUAAUAACAUGACUAUAUACAGGGAGUACCAGGUAAUAACAUGACUAUAUACAGGGAGUACCAGGUAAUAGCAUGACUAUAUACAGGGAGUACCAGGUAAUAACAUGACUAUAUACAGGGAGUACCAGGUAAUAACAUGACUAUAUACAGGGAGUACCAGGUAAUAACAUGACUAUAUACAGGGAGUACCAGGUAAUAACAUGACUAUAUACAGGGAGUACCAGGUAAUAACAUGACUAUAUACAGGGAGUACCAGGUAAUAACAUGACUAUAUACAGGGAGUACCAGGUAAUAACAUGACUAUAUACAGGGAGUACCAGGUAAUAACAUGACUAUAUACAGGGAGUACCAGGUAAUAGCAUGACUAUAUACAGGGAGUACCAGGUAAUAACAUGACUAUAUACAGGGAGUACCAGGUAAUAACAUGACUAUAUACAGGGAGUACCAGGUAAUAGCAUGACUAUAUACAGGGAGUACCAGGUAAUAACAUGACUAUAUACAGGGAGUACCAGGUAAUAACAUGACUAUAUACAGGGAGUACCAGGUAAUAACAUGACUAUAUACAGGGAGUACCAGGUAAUAGCAUGACUAUAUACAGGGAGUACCAGGUAAUAGCAUGACUAUAUACAGGGAGUACCAGGUAAUAACAUGACUAUAUACAGGGAGUACCAGGUAAUAGCAUGACUAUAUACAGGGAGUACCAGGUAAUAGCAUGACUAUAUACAGGGAGUACCAGGUAAUAACAUGACUAUAUACAGGGAGUACCAGGUAAUAACAUGACUAUAUACAGGGAGUACCAGGUAAUAACAUGACUAUAUACAGGGAGUACCAGGUAAUAACAUGACUAUAUACAGGGAGUACCAGGUAAUAACAUGACUAUAUACAGGGAGUACCAGGUAAUAACAUGACUAUA